rnacentral:lncRNA from 1 species
GGGGGUUCUCCCUGGCUGCAGUGGGUCCUAGGAGACCAGAACAGUCAUAUAUACUCACGCACAUCACCCCUUCACCCCCGCCCCUCCCCCUUUUCCCCCCCCCUCCGGCAGUUGACCCGGGUAUCGCCCGGGGCCGACGCCCCGCGCCAGGUUCGGGAGGUUCGCGACAGUGUUGAGAUGCUGAGCGAUCGAAUGGAGGCGCUGGUGAAGAGUUUGGAGCGGGCCAGUAAGCGGGCGGACGCGGCGGAGGCCACUGCCCGGGCGGCAGAGGAGCAGGUGCGGGCACUGCAGGCGCCAGUCACGGAGGCGAGUGCAUCGCUGGCGUCACUGAGACAGGUGCGCGGCUGCGUGCAUGCGUGUGUGUAUGUGGGGGGGGGAGGGGGGGGGAAUUGAGGUAAGGGGUGUGUAGAGGUUUUUGGGGUUUCGGGGUGGGUGUUCUUAGGGGAGUGGGUGUGACAGGGGAGUGAGGGAAGGGGGGGAGGGUUUGGAUGGUUGAUGAGGACUAAGGAGGUUUAUCCCCCCCGGAGGUUCAGUGGGGACUUCCGUUCCCAUGCGCACAUGCGAACCCGCUUCUCUCUCUC